UGCCAGCAGCCGCGGUAAUACGUAGGGUCCAAGCGUUAAUCGGAAUUACUGGGCGUAAAGCGUGCGCAGGCGGUUGUGCAAGACCGAUGUGAAAUCCCCGGGCUUAACCUGGGAAUUGCAUUGGUGACUGCACGGCUAGAGUGUGUCAGAGGGGGGUAGAAUUCCACGUGUAGCAGUGAAAUGCGUAGAGAUGUGGAGGAAUACCGAUGGCGAAGGCAGCCCCCUGGGAUAACACUGACGCCCAUGCACGAAAGCGUGGGGAGCAAACAGGAUUAGAUACCCUGGUAGUCCACGCCCUAAACGAUGUCAACUAGUUGUUGGGGAUUCAUUUCCUUAGUAACGUAGCUACCGCGUGAAGUUGACCGCCUGGGGAGUACGGUCGCAAGAUUAA
rnacentral:rRNA from 1 species